CUGGAGGACUGAAACUGAAAUCCCAGGUACUCCUGCCUUUGAAGCAAGUGCAAGGAUUGGCUUUCCUUGAUGAUUUCAUUUCUUGGAAUCUGCUGAUAGGCGUCUUAUCAGAGCUACUCCCAUGCAAACGGUGAAGAAGAUGGAGAGUGAAGAUGCCAGAACUUGGAAGUCAUAGACCGCAGGACGGAGUGGACUUGGAAUGGGGUCGAGAUUCAACACCCGGGGAGAAAAUCGAUGGAAAACAAACAGACGGGAAAACCGUUUUGCGGUCUUUUGUUUGACGGAAGAUGGAGAGAGAAGAUGUCAGAACGGGGGAGUCGUAGACUUCAGGACAGAGUGGACUUGGAAUGGGAGUCGACGCCUGGGGAGAAAAUCGAUGGAGAAUGAUCAGACAGCAAAACCACAAGCUCCAUCGUUGCAUGUUAGACUGUUUCAUGAGAAAGGGCCCAUUUUUUUGUUUCUUUAUUAACCAAUGGUCAAAUUAAGAAUUAUAAAGCACAAUCAUUUAAUUGCAAAUUGUGUACUGUUUGUUAUUUCGUAGCACUGAUUUGUAACAGGGGACACAUCACACAGCAUCCACCUAAACAAGAUUUCUCGUUUGACUGGGCCAGAGGCUGUCUUCCCCUAGAAUGAGCCGCUAGCCGAGCCUGAGGGUUACACAGUUCAUACUGAACUAUUAUUCUUCCUAGUCCCAUCAAUCUCUACCUGGACCACAGACUUUCUUACCCUUCCCAUCCAUGUACUUAUCCAAACUUCUUUUGAGUGUUGAAAUAGAACCCAUAUAUAGCAUCCAUUUCCACUUCUGCUGGCACAAACUGAACUCUACUGUUACAGCUGGCGCUAUAAUAGCAUUAUGCGAAACAGUACACUACCGUGCCACGUGGAGAAGAGAAUGCCACGUAGUCAUGGCAGAAUGUGCAGAAGAAGGACUUGCCCUCUUCUCAUUCCUAGCACCAGGGUGCAAGUGCAGGAGUGAAGACCCACAGACAAUAUUUUAAGAACAGUUUCUUACCCUGCACCAUCAGAUUCCUGACAGUUCAUGAACCUCAUUACACUAUACAUUUAUUUUUGUAACAUAUAGUAAUUUUAUUUCUUACACGGUACUGCUGCCACAAAACAACAUUUUUAAUGAGAUAUGUCAGUGGUGAUAAACCUCAUUCUGAUCUAUCAUCUUGACAAAAAAAGCCUUAUCAGAUUUAAAAUCCCCACAUCAUCCUUGGGUUGAGGAAUAAAUUUUGAUCAGGGUAUUGGACACAGUUUCAGUUUACUUAAAAUAAUAGAAACAAAAAAUGACGAAGAGUAGGCCAUUUGACCUUUCAAACCCUGUUCUGCCAUUCAGUAGGACCCUUGUUAAUCCUCAUCUCAAUAUACCUGAUGAAUGGUCUUGUCCGCAAUCACCAACUCCUGUCCAUGGAUACUGCCUGACCUGCUGAAUUCCUCCAGCAUUUUGUGUCUGGUGAAUACUUCAUUCACCUCAACUCUGAACUGAUUUCACAACCUAUGGACUCACUUUCAAGGAAACUACAACUCAUGUUCUGAGUAUUAAUUAUUUUAUUUUAUUUACACAAUUUGUCUUUUUUUGCAUGUUGGUUGUUUGUCAGUCUUUGUUUAUGUAUAGCUUUUCAUAAAUUCACUGGGAUCUCACUCCCCACUAUUUGUGAUAUUUACCACGAGUGUUGUAGAUGAAGGGCCCAAAGUAUUUUUGAGAAUCCUUACCAAUCAUCUCACAAUCUCUUUGACCCACAAUUGUCAGGGAGGAGGUACACGAACAUCAGGACUAGGACUGCCAGACUGGGUAACAGCUUCUUCCCCAGGCUGUGAGACUAUUGAAUACUGUACCAUACACUAAUCUGUGCUAUGCACUAUCUGCACUUAUAAUUAUAUUUGUUAACUUAUUUAUGAUAAUAUUUUGUUUUAUGUGCUGUGUAAUAUAUGUUUUGUGGAUGCACC